GACGAACGCUGGCGGCGUGCUUAACACAUGCAAGUCGAACGGAAAGGCCCUGCUUUUGUGGGGUGCUCGAGUGGCGAACGGGUGAGUAACACGUGAGUAACCUGCCCUUGACUUUGGGAUAACUUCAGGAAACUGGGGCUAAUACCGGAUAGGAGCUCCUGCUGCAUGGUGGGGGUUGGAAAGUUUCGGCGGUUGGGGAUGGACUCGCGGCUUAUCAGCUUGUUGGUGGGGUAGUGGCUUACCAAGGCUUUGACGGGUAGCCGGCCUGAGAGGGUGACCGGCCACAUUGGGACUGAGAGACGGCCCAGACUCCUACGGGAGGCAGCAGUGGGGAAUAUUGCACAAUGGGCGGAAGCCUGAUGCAGCAACGCCGCGUGCGGGAUGACGGCCUUCGGGUUGUAAACCGCGUUCGCCUGUGACGAAGCGUGAGUGACGGUAAUGGGUAAAGAAGCACCGGCUAACUACGUG
rnacentral:rRNA from 1 species